UCCUGGAUUCAAGCAAUCCUCCUGCCUCAGCUUCCCAAAGUGCAGGGAUUACAGGUAUGAGCCACCACACUUAGCACAGAAAGCACUCUGGAGUGUGUUCUCUCUCUCUCUUCUCUCUCUCUUUUCUCUUCUGUCUUCUCUUCUCUCUCUAUCCCCUGUGGGGGUCACAGGAAGAAGACAGCAAGCCAGGAAGAGAGCCGUCACCGGGAGCUGACCAUGCUGACACCACGAUCUUGGACUUUCCAGCCUCCAGAAGGAUAAGAAAAUAUAUCUCUAUUGUAGGCUUCUCUUGAUUGCCAACAAGGGAAGAUGAAGAUAUUUGUUUCUCUAACCUUGGCUUUAUAACCUCCACCUUCCAGCUCCCAACUUAAGUUAUCUGCACUAUUACUUUUAUACUGUCAGAAUUGAUAGUAUUUAUAAUCUGCUUGCAAUCAAAACAAACUGGUUUUUUGUUGUUGU